GAAAAGAAAGCAAACGCGAUGUCGUUAGUAAUGGCGAAUGAACGCGACACAGUCCAAACCGAAGCCUUCACGGGCAAUGUGGUGUUCGGGCUGAC
rnacentral:rRNA from 1 species